GUAAAUAUAGUUUAACAAAAACAUUAGAUUGUGAAUCUAAUAACAGAAGUGUAAGUCUUCUUAUUUACC
rnacentral:tRNA from 1 species